rnacentral:siRNA from 1 species
CUGACUAGGAUGCCACAUGGAUAG